GCCGGCGUGGUGGAAUGGUAGACACGACAGACUCAAAAUCUGUUGCGGGUGACCGUGUAAGAGUUCAAGUCUCUUCGCCGGUA
rfam:Treponema brennaborense DSM 12168, complete genome.